AAAUUGAAGAGUUUGAUCAUGGCUCAGAUUGAACGCUGGCGGCAGGCCUAACACAUGCAAGUCGAACGGUAACAGGAAGAAGCUUGCUUCUUUGCUGACGAGUGGCGGACGGGUGAGUAAUGUCUGGGAAACUGCCUGAUGGAGGGGGAUAACUACUGGAAACGGUAGCUAAUACCGCAUAAUGUCGCAAGACCAAAGAGGGGGACCUUCGGGCCUCUUGCCAUCGGAUGUGCCCAGAUGGGAUUAGCUAGUAGGUGG
rnacentral:rRNA from 1 species